AGGGAAAUAGUUCAGUGAUAAAGCGUGUGCUUAGCAUGCACAAGGUCCUGGGUUCAAUCCCCAGUACCUCCA
rnacentral:tRNA from 1 species